rnacentral:misc_RNA from 1 species
GGUCUAUAAAGAGCUGAGUCAGGAAAUCCUUCACAGUAUUGAUAUUUUCCCUACUCAAUCGCUUAUGGAAAGCUCCAUCUUUUCCAAUCUUUUCUAAUCUCCAUACCUCAUCAAACAGAGAUGGAGGAUGGUGCUUCUUGUACAAUUCUCCUCGGUGAUCCCUGACAAUGAAAGAUUCUGUCUUUGUCUCCCUUACAUUGGUUCCAUCAAAAUUAUCCACAACUCUUGCCCCAAGCCUGAACCUACGGCUUCUUGUCCAGCUUGAAUUAUCUGUAAACGAAAUUUCACCCACUAUACCAAUGCCCUCGCUUAGAUUCAGAAACACAUCUCCUGUAAGAAGGGGUUUCUUUCCUUCUCUCUCUCUGACAAUGUUACUCUUAAACUCAUCAUGUGUCCAACUGUCACCCUCAUCACCAUCAAAAUCACCUUCAAGAACAAUAAUUUCCACCUUGGCAGAAGCUUGAGGCCCAGAGUUAACUAUUUUCCCAGUAAGAAUAUCAAUCAAAGCUACUUGUAUAGAAGAACAUUCUUCUCCUUCAAUUCGAGCUCCAGUGAACACUGGAAGAGAGAGGUUGUUUGAGAACUGCAGUUUUAAGCUUCUUGAUUCAGAAGAAUCUUUUUCAUCCCCACUAUUUCGCUUAAAGCUGGCCAAAUGUUUUUUAAGAGCCAAUUCAACUUCUUCUUUGACCACCCUGCGAAUCAAUGGCUCCAGAAUUGGUUCCAACAAAUGGUGGACCG